GACUUGCUUUCCGCUCUGCUCGGAGCUGGUCCGUCCUGGUCGGUCGUCCGUCAUCAUCUUCACUCCGCUGAUUCGAAGCUCGUAGAAAUCGGAGACGCCGGCGAUUUGGUGAUGAACACUUGAAGGGAAGGAGCUUCGAUCGGAGAUGGCGGCCAAUCAUCGCAACGAGGCGAGCGGCGGCUGCGUCGGCGGAAGGGGGGAGUCGGUGGUCGUGGAGGGCGGCGUGGAGUGCGGCCGGCCGGGGAGCUUCUUCGAGUACUGCAGAUCGCCAAAUGGGUCCGCCGUUUCUCACGGUCCGUACGGUUUCUCCUUCGUUUCUCGUGGUUUUCUCCCUCCCGUGUCGUUGAGUGCGGUUUUUGCCCGGGCUCCGGUGGCUCGGGGAUUUUGGGGUCGGCCGGGACUGGAGAUGCCGUGCUUCGGGGUUUGUCUUUUCCGGGCUUUGUCGUCUGUUGUGACGUUCACGAUUGGAAUUGCUGAUUUGCGUUUAGUCUUUAGUAGUUCCAAUCCGCCGCUUCGUUGCGUGCGUCGGCUUGCACUGACGAUUUUUUCUGUUUCGGGUUGUUUGUUUUUUAACGUCUCUUCGACUUGGAUCGCGGAGCCUGACUGUGGAUGACUAUCAAGGUUGAUGUGCAAUUCCCUAUUUUGAGAGUCUGGGCAGCUCUGGCCUGUUGAUUCGCUGUCACUAAUCGGCUCUCGACUGAUGUAGUUUCAUUAUGUGCAUAUAUCUGAUUGAAAGAACUAGAGAAAUUUCGAACGUUUGAUCCGUAUUGAGGGAAACUUAUGGGUACUCAUUCUAUCAACUGUUAAUACAUGGACUUAUUUUUUCAUAUGUGCGUAUUUAACUGCACGACCUCAGAGGAACCAUGUGGAAGCUAUGGUCGAUGCUGAAGUUCCGACUUGAGCCGUUUCUGCGCCUGUGUCUUCCCUUUUCCUUUUAUUCUUCUUUCGAAUGUACCGGUUGGAUUUCUCUGCUAGUUUUCAGCUACUUUGAUCAAGUCUCUUUUCUGAAGGGUUUAUGAUCAGUUCUGAUGCAAAUGACUUUGCAGGAUGGGCCACUAGUUUGUCUGCUUAUGAAAGCGUUGUGGAUUCAAAUAUUCCUUUCUUUAAUGUUGUUAUUGAGAUGACUGAUGUUGGUCACGAAACUUGGUCGUGUAAGAAAGCCCAGAUUAUGAGGCUUGAAAUUCUAAUCAUGUAUAAUUGCACCAAAAAGCAGAGCACACGCAAGAUAUCAUGGGAUUGCUCUUUAAAUAUAUUGACAUCUUGCACCAGUCUGGCGUUUGCGAGUGGAUUUAUGACGAGGUAGAACCGGCAGAUGUAUCCAUUAGGGCUUCAAUGGAAGGGAAGUCAUCUAAAUUUUGGUCCUUGCAGCUCUAUCUUUGAUUGUGACUUUCGUAAAAUGGUAAUGCAUUAUAAUGUAAGCUUACGAGUUCAAGAAGCUUGUUGAGGGUACUUUUCUUACUAGAAUAGUUGCUUUUAGUUUGUCAAAUGAGAAAGCACUACCUCAUUUGUGUUAAAAGAGAAUAACGCAUCUAUUGAAUAACGCAUCUGUUGAAGUACCUCACAUCGCAUGUCUACUGGGUUUAUAUGGGCCUUAUAUUCAUGUGGUCUCCUUACACUUACCAGCUUAAACUUUUGGGUUGGACAUUUUAACAGCAUCAAGGUUGGUUUUUGACAGGCCUGUUAAAAGAAAGAGAUCGUAAUUCUCUAAUCUUUGUCAUUGAUUUGUUGAGCAGUAACUAAACACACUUGCAGACACUACUAUGUGUACAUGUUUCCAUGUCUAAUAUAUUUUGAAAUGGGUAAAAUGGUAUUUUAAAUCUGUCUUUUGCACCAAAAGAAGAAAGGAAUGAGUAAAUUCUUGCAUUUUGUACGUGACUAGAAAAUUAGGCAUAACAUUUCCAAAUUGCAAUGUACAUUAAAUCUGUCGAAUUGAUCAUAAAUGGCAGUGGCAUGGAAUGAGUGAAUGUGAUUCAAGUUUGAAUUGGAAUUAAAGGAUUCUGAAACCACCCUGUAUGAGCACCUCAUCUUGUGUGAGUAAAUAUGAAUGUCAGAGGUUCUGUGUGGAUCCUAAUUUAAUCUUUUGGUGAAGAUUGCAGCUGUAAGGGAGACGAUUGUUGCACAAUCAGGAUAAGAUCUCUCCAAUGAGUUAUGUGGUCUCCAUAGCAUCAAAUAUGAAGGUCCAUUUGGCGGGCUUUUUGAACUAAUUCACCAUCUUGACAUUCAUAACAUUGGAUCAGGUCAUGUAUCCAGUGAUUGAACUUUCACACUUCUUGAGAUGUUGCCGUUUAUCUUACAUUGGCUUGAUAACAGGGUCUGCUAUUGACAUGAUGACCAGCACCAUAACUGUUGGUAGUCAAACCAACUGUUGCUCAUAAUGCUGAGGAGGAUUUAAUGCUGUAAAGAAUGAAAUUCGGGUUCGUCAAACCAGAAGGUGGCAAGCAAUUGGCAUCCUAAGGCAUGUUUUGUUCAGCUACUGUACCUUGGAGAUUAAAGAAACAUGCCAUUGACUUCUUGCUUUGCACCACAGAAGGAGAUAUCUCACAGGAGAGUGAGAGUGAAACUCUAGAUUUCUCAUCAUUUGUUCCUAGCCAUUUUGCUGCCUUGCAGUGCAAAAUCUUGGGAUUGACAACGUCAUCAUGUACACAUCGGAUGAUGUGCUAAGGAAGAAAGCUUUUGAUGUACUGGAAAGGGUUAGUGUUUUUGACUUAAGAUCCUCUGCUCUUGCUUCACUAAACAGAUGCUGUGCUAAGGAAGAAAGCUUUUGAUGUACUGGAAAGGGUUAGUGUUUUUGACUUAGGAUCCUCUGCUCUUGCUUCACUAAACAGCUCGUCACUCUUGUAGUCCGUUUCUCUCUUGUUUAAGUUGUGCAAUUAUUUCCCAGUCUCCAGAUGCUUGCUGAUAUUGCAAUUUCUCAAAGGUUUGAUGUCUUAAAAGCCCUGAUUACAAAUUGCAUCUCUUCCUUUAUGGUAACUCCAUGGGGAAGUACGUGGAAUUGCUGGAUCUAGGGGUGAGGAUGGCUGCAAGGUUCCACUCUAACUGCCCACAAACCGCACGUUUGUAUUACCAUCCUCCCUCCAACCAUGACGACGAUGACGACAACCACCACCACCACCACCACCACCACUCCUUGAGCGGCAGCACAGGCAAUGGCCCUCGUCCGGACCACAGGCUCAGAAUCGACUCUAUUGAACUCAUGCUUUUCUGUUGUGUGAGGAAGAGUUUAGAUUUCUCUAUUUGGGAUGUGUUUUGAGCGUUUAUAGGGAAGACAUCCAGCCAAAAAAUUGAGCUGUUUCCUGUCUUCUCGCAUAUUUUUUCAAACACGAAUUGUGUCUCCAUUGUCAAUUUUGUCCCUAGACAUCAAGCCAAAAAAUCAAGUUGUUUCUUGUCUUUUCACAUAUU